rnacentral:lncRNA from 1 species
AGCUACCUUCCAAUCAUCAUUUGGUCGAGUUGUUUUGCAAGCUAACCAUGACAACAAAAGAAAAUCCUUCCUCUUAUUGAAUUAGAUAAAAUUGAUGUUUAAAAAACACAAAACACUGAUAAUGAUGUGAAAGAGGCCUAACUUUAAAUUUUUGCAAUUAAAUUUCUUAAAUUUAAUUAAAUAGUUCAGUUGGUCUUUCUUGGCAAACUAAGUUGUUAAUUGAGCAAUUGGCUGGUGCCUUAGUCUUAUGGACGAUCCAUUACAAUUUUAUUCAGCCAUCUCUUAUUUUCUUUAUUUUUUUUUCUUAAAACUACAUUAUGAAAGCAAAAUAAAUCUAUACUAGUGUAGUGACCCGCGCGUUACGCCGGAUAAAUAUUGUUAAAGUGAAAAUUUGUAAAGAAUAAAAUAUCAGUUUAGUAUAAAAGAUAAUAAAUAUAGUCUAUAUUCUAGACAAAUAUUUUUAAAAAAUAAAACAAUGAUGAAGAAGAAUUUAAUUUUUUCAACAAAACUAUUCAAUAUUGUUCAAGAGAAGUCGCAUAUCAUAUAAGUGGAUGAUUAAAAUUAUUUUUAUAACACAAUAAUCAAAUUGAGGGAAAAAAAAAAAGAAAAAAAAAAAGUAGGUCUCACUCUUCUCGAAAUUAAGAUGGUGGAUACACGUAGGAUUUAGUAAUGAAGAUUGAUGUAUAGGUGUAUAUAGAUACCACUAGAUUGAUUAAUGUCUUGGAAAUGAAGGGGCUGGAUUUGACCUUUUAUCGGUCACAUGACUUAUUGGAUGUUGCAAAAUUUAAAGGAAUUAAAAAAAAGAGAGAAAAGGAUACAUGAUUGCAGUAAGUUAAUUGUGGGACCCAAGAGAAUAAGAAAGUUAAGGAAGCAGGGCUAGCGUAGUCUUAGGAUGAGUAGCUCUUUUGAGAGUGGAGCGUCACAAUUAGUAUUAAAGCUAAUUAUUAGUCGGAAAUAUGAGAUGAGUUUUAAUGAGUCAGGAUUAUACAGUGGACAGAGUGAGGCUCUCUGACUGGUGACUGUUGUGGGUGGAGUGAGGCUCUCCAUAAAGUCAGUUAAGGCUAGCAAGACGAGUUUCACAUCAUCUAAUACUUGUGACUGUUUUUGAGUAUGACGAAAACGUCGGGACUUAAAAGGGGGGAUGUGAGACCCCAGGAUUUGGAAUUGUUCUAUAUGUAUCUCAUAAUUGGACUAAAUCGCUUAACUUGGCUAUAGCAUUUUAGUCCGGUGGUUUGGGCCCGACGAGCUAUUAUUGCUAGCAGGUCGUAUCGUUACGUUUUGUAUCAGAGUCUAAUAACUAGCCGGAAGUAUGAGAUAAAUCUCAUGUCGCCAGGUGAAUCCAGGGUUAUGUGUGUGAUUGGGCCAUAUGUGAUUGGGCCAGGCUGACGAGGACGUUAGAGUCUAAAGCGAGGGGAGUAUGUAACACCCUAAUAAUUCCACAUCAGAUAAUGUAGGAAAGUGUAAUGGGUUUAUAAGUGAUGAACAUAUUAGUAAUAGUAACUGGGCUUAAGCAUUGUUGGGCUGGUUUGAGCCUAACGAGUUAUUAUUGCUAGUGGGUCGGGUCGUUAUGUGUGAGAUUGGGCCCGAUUAACGAGGACGUCAGGAUCCAAACGAGGGACGGACAUAUUGAGCUUAAGGAUUUUGGCCCAAAUUCAAGUUAUUAUUAUUAUUAGCAGGUUGGAUCGUUAUACUAAUUGAUUGAAUAGUUAGUUUUAACUUUUUAAAUUUGUGGUGGCCAUCUCUAAAUGUGAGAGUGGUCGGACGAAUUAGGCAAUUUUGAUUUUGAUGUUUUGGUCUCUGUGGCAAAAUUUCAUAUGUAUGUAACACAAUGAUCCUAAUUCAAAAGUAAUACUUGAUAAAAUGGAUCUUAAUUCUAUUUAUCUUUGCAGAAAAGUAUUCAAAAAACAAAUAUAGAAAAGGAAAAAAAUGUUGAAAAAUGGCUACCUGUAUGCCCCACGUAAGGGUGUAUGCAUCAUUACAUGUUAAGUGUUUACAAAACUACACUGGGUUUUAGUUUGUAAAAUGAAAUUAUUAGACAAGAAAAUAAAUCUAGGUCAUAGAAUGUUUAAGGUCAAUUUCACCAAUCACCAAAAUUUAAAAUUUGACUCCAACAUUAGAAUUAGAUUUUAGAAAGCAGAUUUUAGGUGCUUCUAAUUUUGGAUCUUAAAAAUUAAAAUAUUAAUUUUAAAAUUUAGAAUCAAAUUUUGAAAAAACUUUAUCGAAAGAGAAAUUAUUUUUGGCCCUAAAUCAUUCUCAAAAUCCAGGCCCAACAGUCACAUGGCCACAUGCACCGUAGCCUCUUUAUAUUUUGGAUUAAUCCACUUAUAUGUUAAUGAAAGGGGUUGGUUUUAUCUUAAAAAAUUUUUAUAAAACGAAUUAUAACCAAACUUUGGUAUAUAAGAUACAAGUUUUUUACCAAAAAAUCUUUUACUUUGGCCCUUAAAAUUUGUAAUAUUUUAAUUUUGGGAUAAUAUCAAAUAUGUCUUUCAAAAACUUCAAAAAUAUCCUAUCUAUUCUUGGAGGACCAAAAUACCCUUAUUGAAUUUAAAAAAAUUCUUUCAAAUAUCCUCAAUUUUCAGGUUUACUAAUAGAAUAAGAAUUUAGAAAAGCAUUUCGAUAAUCACUGGAUAAAUUUAAAAAUUUUUAAUAGUAAUAAAAGGUAAAAAUAAGCAAAAGCUUCUUUUAAUUUUCACUAUACCAUAAUUAGAACUUUCAUAUAAUUUAUAAAAAGUUUUCUUUUUUAGUGAGAAAGGUCGCAUGUUAUCUGCCUUCGUUUAUUUCUUUUAGAAUAAAUUUAGCUAAAAAUGUGAAUCAAUUAGAAUUCGAACUUGAAACUUCAGGUACCAACCAUCGAGUCUUUUUGCUACUUGCACUAGGAACAGUCGGUUGUAAUUUUUAAAAAGUUGAGUAGGGUCAUGGCAAUUGUGGGCCUCUUAGUAGUUCUGUCUCUGCAAUAGGCUGCUUUUAUCAACAGUCUUCCAAAAGCCAUGAUGAAUUUAGACUUCAACAAAGAGGGAGAGGAAAAGUCUGCAGUCAAUGAUCAAGUUUCUAAUUCUUAUUCUUCACAGGCACUGAUAGUGACCUUUGAGGAUGUUAGCCAGCACUGAGGAGGAAUCACAUUCAAACCCUAUCCUUUUGGUCUACAACACUCUCACGGACUUAGAAAUUUUGCUCACAAAAUUCAUGUGGCGCCUACCUUUCUCAGUAAAGAUGGAUAAGUUUUGCUCUCUAUUUGAUAUCCUGAAUCUUCGCGUCCUACGACUAAGUGCAAAAAAGAGAAACCGCGACACUAUGCUUCUGCUACUUCUGCAUUAUCUUAUGGACAAUUUUAAAUUUGCAUAUCUGUGGUUUAACUCAUUUUUUACUUUGUUAUUCUUUGAUUUAACAAGUCAUUCUUGGCUAUUCUGCGAUUUUUAUCUCUAAUUUUAUCUAAAAAAAUUACUAUCAAAUAGGAUAGCAAAGUAAAUUCUUUUGAUAAUUAAGUGUAACUCUUUGAACUACAGAAUCACAAAGUGAAAAUGAGCUAAACGCCGGAAUAGUUAUAUGUAAUUUUUUUGAACCGCAGGAGGGCAAAGUACCACGGUGGACAAAGUGAAGUUUUAAAUAAAAAAUUUUACUUGGUCCCUCUAAAAGUGUGCAAGUCUUACAUAUUUCACCCCAGAGUUCAUAAAAAUUUAAAUAGCUUAUAGCGAAGAAAAAGAAAGUUGAAAUGAUAAGUAAAAUAAAAUAAAAUCCCUUAAAUAAAGAGGGUGCAAGAUGUAUAUCUCACUUUGAGAUGUAUCAGUAGUAUUGCUCAUUUUAAUAUUCUCGUACGAUAGGGUGAAAGCAGUUCGAAUAUGAACAGAUAUUUAAUGAAAAUCUAUGUAUUUUCGGAUAUGAAUGCGAAUACGAAUAUGUGUUAGCUAUUGAGUUUUCGUUACCAUAUCUGUUAAAACUAGAUACAGAUACGGUCGUGUAUUUUUUUUGGAUUCGAAUAUGACUCGAAUAUAUAUUCAGUUAUUAUUGAAAUCAUAAUAUACAUUAGCUAAUAUGCACAUAAAAAAUGUUCUAGAAUUAACAACAAUGUAACUCGUAUUUUCACAUUCAGACUCAAACUUUUAUAUUCCUAUAUUUGAUCGAAUAAAAUUUAAGAUUUAAUAAACUCAAAUGUAAUUUUUAUAUAAAACUGAUAAUAAUACAAACAAAAAACACUAAAAACCAUCUUAUUUCUCCACAAGUAUAUAUUAUCUUUCAAAAAAAGAAAAAAAGAAAAAACAAUCAAACUCCUCCUUAUCUCCCAACAGAUAGUAAUUAAGCCGCAUAAAUAAAAAAAAAAAGAGAAAUUAAAUCCUCCGUAUCUUCCCACACAUAUUUUUUUAAAAGCACAAUAUUGAAAUAGGAGAAUGAGAUAUUGGAAUAUUGGGAUCGGGGAAUUAGGAGAAGAGAAUAUUGAGAAUUAAAAUAUUCAUUUAACUAGUAAUAUAAAAUAAAAUAAAAUAUUAUUAGAAAAUUUGGAUAUCUGUAGCAAUAUUUAUUGUUUUAAAAUAUUUGAAUAAUUUUUUUUUUGACAGAUAGAUAGCACGCUACCCGCUUUGUUUAUUUUAUUUAAAAAUAAACUUAGCUGGAAAUGUGAAUCAACUAGAAUUCAAACUUGGGUCUCGGACAUCAACUACCAAGUCCUUUGCCACUUGCUCUAUAUUCGAAUAAUUUUGAUUCUGUAAAAUUAUAUCUGUAUUCAUAUCCGAUCGGAUUCACAUAUUUUCUAUCCAGUGUGAAUAAUGUCCUUUAUUUUCAGGUGUUAUUCUAUCUGCUUUCAUCGUUGCUUGUUGGAGACGCAGUCACGGGGGAAGCGAGUAGAUUUACCACUUUUAGGAAAACCUACCCCGGCUCUAUCAUUUGACCGACCCAUUACUAUUUGGGCUUUUUUUGGCAUUUAGUCCCCUCAAAGAUUUCUUUUUCGUAAAUUAUCUCCACAAAAUUUAUAUUUGUAAAAUUAGUCCUAUCUCUGCCACACGGGCGUCACGUGAGCACCACGCGAGCAUGAAUGACGGUGGAGAUUAAGUUGAACACGAUAAACCAUUCAUCAUGUUUGGACACGAUAAAUGAUUCAUUCUGUUUUAUUAUUUUUCUACCACAAUAUUAAAUAAUAUUAAGGGCUUAGAAUUUAGAAAGGACGUGAUGAAUCAUCUACCGUAUCUAAACACGAUAAAUGAUUCACCAAAUUCAACUUAGUCUAGACUGCCACACCCAUGGGGUGCAUGCCUGACGGGGAUAGAGUCAUCCUUGCAAGUGGGAUUAUUUACGAUUCUUUUUUUCGAGGGAGCUAAAUACAAAAAAAAAAAAACCCUUACUAAUUAUUUUCCAUGAGCGUGGGGAGUGAAAUUCUCGUCUAAUCCAAAUCAUCUCAGUACAAGAUGGGCCCCUCUGAUGAUGGUUUAAGAUGAAUAAUAUAAUAUAUAUAUAUAUUCAGCAUGAGCCGACAUUAUCCUUUCGACAACCACAUAUAUAAAAAUGUUUAAAAUAUGAUAGUAACAUCACAUCAUUUAUAUUUUCAACCAAUCAAAUUCAUUUUUGAAAUUUAUUAUUUUGUUAUAAUUUUUUAAAAAUAAAUAAUUAUAAUUUUUUUAGAUUAAAAAAAAAUGAUUUGCUUGAGAUAUAUAGUAAUAUUUCCUUCACCCCUUUGAAAAAUCAUGUAAUCACAUGUCUAGUUUCGAAGCAUUAGAUUUGCUUAUAUCUGCUGAAACCAUCCAAAUUCUGGAUAAAUCAUUUUAACCUCAAACCAUUAAUUACUUUAUAUUCUCAGAAAUUAUACCAAAUAUCCACAGAUGGGGGCCAUUUGGUUCAAGAUUUAUAAUAUUUUCAGAGUGUUGUAUAAUUUAUAUUUAGAAUGACAAAUUUAUUAUUAACUUAUUAAGUCAUUUGGGUUGGAAAGUUGUUAAGUAAAUAUUCUUAUAAACGGGCCACUAAUGAUUCUGAUCAAGUAUGAAAAUGACAAUACCUUCUAAUGUAUGAUAAUCUAUUAUUCCUUCCACCUAGAAAUCUAUAAUGAUUCUACAACUUUGUUAAAGAGUUGUUUGGUUGCACAUAGUUGCAACUGCACUGUACUUAUAACUGUAUACAGAUUUAAAUCUGGUGUUUACUUUGAUGCAUUUGAAUUCAACUGCUACAAUUACAACCGCAAAAAAAGGCUCAAGUGUAGUUGUUGGAACUAUAUUCAAAUUGUCUGCAGUUCCAACUGUACAUAUUUAAAGAGCGUAAUUUGAAAUAAAAUUAAGCACACUUCCCUAAUAAUCUUUCCAAUAUUUUUUUCCCUUUCCUAUAAAAGAGGUAAUUUUACUACCAUAUGUAUAAAAUUCUAAAAAUUCAUGAUGCACUUCUCAACCACGUGAAAACAAACAAAAUACUUACAAUUACAACACUUUCAAUUACAUCCAAAUAAAAUAAGAUGCAUAUAUAAAAUUAUAACGGCCGUAUUUCCAAUUGCAUAUAUUUUUAAUUAUACUGUAUUUAUAAUUACACCAAAAUAGAUGGCUCCUAAUACUUUUUUUUUUUUUUGAGAGAUAGGUAGCACGCUACCCGCUUCGUUUAUUUUAUUUAGAAAUAAACUUAGCUGAAAAUGUGAAUCAACUAGAAUUCGAACUUGGGUCUCGGGUACCAACCACCAAACUCUUUGCCACUUGCUCUAGGGACGGUCAGUGGCUCCUAAUACUUAUUACAACUAUUUAACUUGAACAAUAAUUUGAAUAUUUUCUAAAAACAUUU